rnacentral:rRNA from 1 species
UAUCUCUGUAGAGUCUGCAUAUCAAUAAGCGGAGGAAAAGAAACUAACUAGGAUUCCCUCAGUAACGGCGAGUGAAGCGGGAAGAGCUCAAAUUUGAAAUCUUCAAGGUUCUACCUUGACGAAUUGUAGUUUAAAGAAGUGUUUUCUGUUGGUGUUUUGGUAAAAGUUCUUUGGAAUAGGACAUCAUAGAGGGUGAGAAUCCCGUAUUUGACCAUUAUUUCCAGCUUUGUGAUACACUUUCAAAGAGUCGGAUUGUUUGGGAAUGCAGUCCAAAAUGGGUGGUAAAUUUCAUCUAAAGCUAAAUAUUGGCGAGAGACCGAUAGCGAACAAGUACCGUGAGGGAAAGAUGAAAAGAACUUUGAAAGGAGAGUUAAACAGUACGUGAAAUUGUCAAAAGGGAAGCGUUUGACACCAGUGUUGUUUUCUCGAAAAUCAAUUAAAAAAGGCAGGAUUUUGUGUUGUAUUGACUUUAUCAGCUUUCUGCACUCUUUUCUUGUCUUUUUUUAAUGCACUUUUCGUUUAACAAGUCAACAUCAAUUUCUUUUGUUGUAAAAGGGUCAUUGGAAGGUGGCUUUCUUUUCGGAGAAAGUGUUUAUAGCCUUUGGCCUCUGCAAUCGGAGAGAUUGAGGUCUGCAGCGUAGAUCCUUCGGGGUUAGAUACAUUUGUGCUAAGUUAUAGCCUUUCAUAGACAACUUGUUGACUAUGAUCAGUCAUGUAGCUUACUCGCUUAUGCUAUUUUACCUACGCUUAGGAUGUGACGAUCAGCUGAGCGCG